AGAGAGAGAGAGAGAGAGAGAGAGAGAGAGAGAGAGAUAGAGAGAGAGACCUUGAGUGGUGUCCUGUUUCUGAGAAGAAGAUGAAGAAGAAGAACCCAUAGAGGAAACCAAGAAAGAAGAAGCUCUGUUUGAAGAUUUUCCAGCAAAAGCUAAACGAACCUGAUUUUCACUGCUUAACCCUAGAUUCGAUUUUGCCGGAUUGUAAUUAGCCAGAGAGCUCAAACUGGUUUUGGCUAUGGCGUAGGAUGCCAUUUCACAAAUGCCGUUAAAUUGACUGAUUCAGCUGGCUUCUGGAAGGUGAAUUAUACUUAAUUUGUGUUCCUGUGUGCUCAGUUAUUUAAUAACAACGGUGCAUCCUCGUUUCUACGCCAAUCGUUAAGCUGGCUAUUUUUGCUGU
rnacentral:lncRNA from 1 species